rnacentral:rRNA from 1 species
UACGGAGGGUGCAAGCGUUGUUCGGAAUCAUUGGGCGUAAAGCGCGUGUAGGCGGCUUGGCAAGUCAGUUGUGAAAGCCCGGGGCCCAACCCCGGAAUUGCAUCUGAAACUGCCUGGCUAGAGUCCCGGAGAGGAAGGCAGAAUUCCCGGUGUAGGGGUGAAAUCCGUAGAUAUUGGGAAGAACACCGGUGGCGAAGGCGGCGCUCUGGACCGAGACUGACGCUGAGGCGCGAAAGCGUGGGGAGCAAACAGG